rnacentral:rRNA from 1 species
AUGGUUACGAGUGUACCGAUUGGUGAGAAGCUCUUCAUAGGAGGAGACCUCAAUGGCCACGUGGGUACAUCUAACACAGGUUUUGAAGGGGCGCAUGGGGGCUUUGGCUAUGGCAUCAGGAAUCAAGAAGGAGAAGAUGUCUUAAGCUUUGCUCUAGCCUACAACAUGAUUGUAGCUAACACCCUCUUUAGAAAGAGAGAAUCACAUCUGGUGACUUUUAGUAGUGGCCAACACUCUAGCCAGAUUGAUUUCAUCCUCUCGAGAAGAGAAGAUAGGCGUGCGUGCCUAGACUGUAAGGUGAUACCUGGGGAGAGUGUUGUACCCCAGCAUAAGCUGGUGGUUGCUGACUUCCGCUUUCGGAUUCGUGUCCAGCGGGAUAAGCGUGCCAAGGUCGCUAGAACGAAGUGGUGGAAGCUCAAGGGGGAGGUAGCUCAGGUGUUCAAGGAGAGGGUAUUUAAGGAGGGCCCUUGGGAGGAAGGAGGGGAUGCGGACAAUGUGUGGAUGAAGAUGGCGACUUGCAUUCGUAAGGUGGCCUCGAAGGAGUUUGGAGUGUCCAGGGGAAGGAGAAGCGAACAUAAGGAUACCUGGUGGUGGAAUGAUGAUGUCCAAAAGGCGCUUAAAGAGAAGAAAGAUUGCUUCAGACGCCUAUACCUGGAUAGGAGUGCAGACAACAUAGAGAAGUACAAGAUGGCGAAGAAGGCCGCAAAGCGAGCUGUUGGUGAAGCAAGGGGUCGGGCAUAUGAGGACCUCUACCAACGGUUAGGCACGAAGGAAGGUGAAAGGGACAUCUAUAAGAUGGCUAAGAUCCGGGAGAGGAAGACGAGGGAUAUUGGCCAAGUCAAAUGCAUCAAGGACGGAGCAGGCCAACUCUUGGUGAAGGACGAAGAGAUUAAGCAUAGAUGGCGGGAGUACUUCGACAAGCUUUUCAAUGGGGAGAAUGAGAGUUCUACCAUUGAACUGAUUGACUCCUUUGAUGAGACCAGCAUGCGUUUUGCGCGGCGCAUCCAGGAGUCUGAGGUGAAGGAGGCUUUAAAAAGGAUGAAAGAAGGCAAGGCGAUGGGCCCUGAUUGUAUCCCCAUUGAGGUGUGGAAAGGUCUCGGGGACAUAGCGAUAGUAUGGCUAACCAAGCUUUUCAACCUCAUUUUUCGGGCAAAUAAGAUGCCAGAAGAAUGGAGACGGAGUAUAUUAGUACCAAUCUUCAAGAACAAGGGGGAUGUUCAGAGUUGUACUAAUUACCGUGGAAUUAAGCUGAUGAGCCAUACAAUGAAGCUAUGGGAGAGAGCCAUUGAGCACCGCUUAAGAAGAAUGACAAGCGUGACCAAAAAUCAGUUUGGUUUCAUGCCUGGGAGGUCGACCAUGGAAGCCAUUUUCUUGGUACGACAACUUAUGGAGAGAUAUAGGGAGCAUAAGAAGGACUUGCAUAUGGUGUUCAUUGACUUGGAGAAAGCCUAUGAUAAAAUACCGCGGAAUGUCAUGUGGUGGGCCUUGGAGAAACACAAAGUCCCAGCAAAGUACAUUACCCUCAUCAAGGACAUGUACAAUAAUGUUGUGACAAGUGUUCGAACAAGUGAUGUCGACACCGAUGACUUCCCGAUUAAGAUAGGACUGCAUCAGGGGUCAGCUUUGAGCCCUUAUCUUUUUGCAUUGGUGAUGGAUGAGGUCACAAGGGGUAUACAAGGAGAUAUCCCAUGGUGUAUGCUCUUUGCGGAUGAUGUGGUGCUAGUUGACGAUAGUCGGACGGGGGUAAAUAGGAAGUUAGAGUUAUGGAGACAAACCUUGGAAUCG